AAAAGAAAUAAACAACUAUGCUGUAAAAACAAAAGAUAAAAUUAAAAAGUCAAUAAAGUGUUUGCGGGUCAACUCUACAUGUUUCGACCGACCUGUACUGAAGAACUAUGUUGUCAAAGACGCAAGGCGCAGGCGAGGCGCAUUGGUCUCGCCCGGAGCCUAGGCGCAAGGCGCAAAAAAAGCGUAGGCUUUUUUAAGAAAAGCGCACAUAGAGAAAAAAAUAUAAAAAAUAUGGUAUGCUUUGAUAAUAAAUAAGAUUCCACAUAUAAAAUUCAAAAAACUAUUAUAUAUGCCAUUUAAGAUCAUGUAGCUAAUAGUUUUACACGCGUGAGGCAGUUUUGCACCCACCCGGUUUCGUUUUCAGUGGUCAUUUGUGCUGUUUUACCUUUUUCCCUGCGCCUCAACAACGUUCUUUGCGCCUAGGCGCGCGCUUUUUGCGCCUCAGCACGGUUUUUAAAAAAAAAAAACAUUUUUGCGCCUAGGCUACCACCAGGUGCUAUAGGCGCGCCUCGCUGCGCCCGGGCGCCUAGGCGCGCACUUUUUGCGCUUUUGACAACAUAGCUGAAGAAUUGUUUGUUUUGACCCGUAUUCAGUGUGCAACACAAAGUCGUCGAUGUCUUUCCUAAGCAUAUCUUCUCUGUAAACUGCCUGCAACAAGAGACUCAAUAGCAGCAUCUGAUUUUCUCUGCAUAGAAACUAAGAGUUAGUAUGGAACUAUAAGCCCGGUUUUCUCAAUGACAAGCGUAAACGUGCACACACCUUCUGAUCAACGGCUAUAGAUUUCAACUGCUCGUUCUCAUUCAUCAGCUUUGCGAUUUCAUCAGCUUUUGCCUGUAACAGAUAAUUGUAAUGAUUUGAGGACAACUGAACAUACAAAAAUAUUGCAAAAACGAAGAGUCUUUUCUACAUUGUUUAGAACAUAUCAUCCAAA